rnacentral:rRNA from 1 species
UACGUAGGGGGGCAAGCGUUUGUCCGGAUUUAUUGGGCGUAAAGAGCGUGUAGGCGGCUAGGUAGGUCCGUUGUGAAAACUCGAGGCUCAACCUCGAGACGUCGAUGGAAACCAUCUAGCUAGAGUCCGGAAGAGGAGAGUGGAAUUCCUGGUGUAGCGGUGAAAUGCGUAGAUAUCUGGAGGAACACCGGUGGCGAAGGCGGCAUCCUGGACCGACACUGACGCUGAGGAGCGAAAGCCAGGGGAGCAAACGGG